UGACGAGUGGCGGACGGGUGAGUAAUGCUUGGGAACUUGCCUUUGCGAGGGGGAUAACAGUUGGAAACGACUGCUAAUACCGCAUAAUGUCUUCGGACCAAACGGGGCUUCGGCUCCGGCGCAAAGAGAGGCCCAAGUGAGAUUAGCUAGUUGGUAAGGUAACGGCUUACCAAGGCGACGAUCUCUAGCUGUUCUGAGAGGAAGAUCAGCCACACUGGGACUGAGACACGGCCCAGACUCCUACGGGAGGCAGCAGUGGGGAAUAUUGCACAAUGGGGGAAACCCUGAUGCAGCCAUGCCGCGUGUGUGAAGAAGGCCUUCGGGUUGUAAAGCACUUUCAGUUGUGAGGAAAAGUUAGUAGUUAAUACCUGCUAGCCGUGACGUUAACAACAGAAGAAGCACCGGCUAACUCCGUGCCAGCAGCCGCGGUAAUACGGAGGGUGCGAGCGUUAAUCGGAAUUACUGGGCGUAAAGCGCACGCAGGCGGUUUGUUAAGCUAGAUGUGAAAGCCCCGGGCUCAACCUGGGAUGGUCAUUUAGAACUGGCAGACUAGAGUCUUGGAGAGGGGAGUGGAAUUCCAGGUGUAGCGGUGAAAUGCGUAGAUAUCUGGAGGAACAUCAGUGGCGAAGGCGACUCCCUGGCCAAAGACUGACGCUCAUGUGCGAAAGUGUGGGUAGCGAACAGGAUUAGAUACCCUGGUAGUCCACACCGUAAACGCUGUCUACUAGCUGUGUGUGCCUUUAAUGCGUGCGUAGCGAAGCUAACGCGCUAAGUAGACCGCCUGGGGAGUACGG
rnacentral:rRNA from 2 species